AUCGCGAGGUGUGGAUGAGAAGAAGAGAUAGCGAAAUCGUAGCCCUACGAACAGAAACCCGAUAUUAAGGCGUACAUGGUGGGUGAAUUGACCACAAGCAAUGAAGCCCAAAAGGUAGCCGUAACCCAUAUGCGUAAAUCGGGAGGGUAGACGAGGAAAGAAU
rnacentral:ncRNA from 1 species